CUCCGCUACAGCCAGCGUCACGGUCAAUAUACUGGACACCAAUGAGUUCCCACCUUUCUACUCCCCCUAAGUAUUUGUUUAAGUAACACGACUUCACUGGGCACUAGACUUAGCCAAAUAACCCUUAUGUUUCUUAUGGAUAUUGAUGAUAGAUUACAUUAGGUCAUGUCUAUGUCCAGGAGUUUUCCACAUUAUGUGACCAUGACUUUAACCACUACAACUUGGGUCCAUAGUUUUUUCCUGAUUAGGUUACAUGGUCUGAAGAAACUUGGAUGAAAUCAUGUGUGGAUUGCAGGGCCUAAAAUCCUGACUCAGGGGGAGGCAGCGUAGAGAGGACACGGGUCUAUAAUGUUAGAGUAAUGGUGGUCAUUAGGACAAGACAAGCAUCAUACAGUCUGACCUCCUUCACUACAGAUGAAUGACCACCCAGAGUCUGUAUGGUCUACUUCAUACAGUCUGAUCUCCUUCACUACAGAUGAAUGACCACCCAGAGUCUGUAUGGUCUACAUCAUACCCACCAUCAUUAUCCCUGUCAGACCACAACCUAAUUAUCAAUGAUGAUCUGUGUUAUUGGACAAAGGUUGGGGAUAAUUGGGACCUAUGGUCUUAGCUGAAUUACUUUAGAACUGCUUUGAAUCAGUGGACAGCUCCAGGUAAACCUGAUAAUGACACAAUGCAUAACAUUUGAUGUUCUAUGACUAUUAGUGUGUAUUGUUGUGCUUUUAAAAUAUGUUGUGUCUUGAUAAAUCAAGUGAAUCUUCCUGCCAGGUGAACAACACUCUAGACUACGCCAAUAACUUCCAGUAUGAGGCCACCAUCUUGGCUACAUACACAGGCACCCCUCCUCUCGCAUGUUCCCUGGGUGUCUUGUACACAGUACUCCAUCAUCUAUGUGGAAGGUUACAUCAAGGUCACAUGAUGGCAGUGAUGUAACCCAGUCCUUUCAUCUGUAUCCAGCCCAGGUGCUGGUGACUGUGACCCCACUCAAUAAGUUUGACCCAGGGUUUCUGACUGUGUUUCAGUGUCUCAGAGGGCACCAGGCCUGGUAUGGCAGUGGGGAUGGUGGGGGCCAGAGACAGACUGGCCCUUUGACAUAAUCCACUACUCCAUCACUUCAGGAGAGGCCAUGUUCACUAUGGACCCUGAGGGAGGGGAGCUGUAUCUGGGUGGAGAGCUGGACUUUGAGCAGCAACAGGUGUAUGUAGUGGGGGUUCAGGCUGAGGACGAUGACCAGGGUGUGGACCGUACCAACGACAAGUGGAGUUGAUGAAUGGGCAAAGAGCUAAUGCACCCUUGUACAUGUAUCUAGUACAGUAUAACCGAAUACAUCCUUUCAGACAUGUAUCUAUACAGUAUAAUACCAUAGCUUAAAUAUGGUACCAUCCUCUGAUAGGACAAGAGACAGGAAGAGAGACAGAUUUAAGUGAAAAUGUCAGUUAAACAUGGAGAACGUAAUUUAGGAUUCAGCUCUUUCUGUUUUUCAAAGCAUCGAGGAUAUUAUAAAACAUUGAUUUUCAUGACAUAAUAUCGAAGAGAUAAAAAUCUGACAAUUCUCAUCUUGAAAGUUAGAUCUUUCACAAAACUAUAGAGUACAUCAGGGUUGGUGAGGUUAGUGCUGACAGUGGCUAUAAUAUCCUCGGGUCCUUGGUUUUCAAAGAUUCUGGGAAACUAGUGUCACGUUCGGACCUUAGUUCCUUUGUUUUGUCUUUGUUUAGUAUGGUCAGGGCGUGAGUUGGGUGGGUUGUCUGUUAGUUUUUCUAUAUUUUCUAUUUCUGUGUUUGGCCUGAUAUGGUUCUCAAUCAGAGGCAGCUGUUUAUCGUUGUCCUUGAUUGAGAACCAUAUUUAGGUAGCCUGUUUUCCAUUGUGUUUUGUGGG
ensembl:lncRNA